UGUAUAAAAGUGUUUGGCACAAAAGAUUUUGAUUCUUUUAGGUUUAAUUAAGUUUAAUAUAUACAU
rnacentral:tRNA from 1 species